GAUGGGAUAGCUCAGUCAGUACAACAUGAGGCUGAUGAUCUCAGGGUUGUGGGUUCAAGCCCCAGGUUGCACAAACG